AGACUAUGAUGUGUAGCCGGGCUGAGAGGUUGAACGGCCACAUUGGGACUGAGACACGGCCCAAACUCCUACGGGAGGCAGCAGUAGGGAAUUUUCGGCAAUGGAGGAAACUCUGACCGAGCAACGCCGCGUGAACGAUGAAGUAUUUCGGUACGUAAAGUUCUUUUAUUAGGGAAGAAUAAAUGAUGGAAAAAUCAUUCUGACGGUACCUAAUGAAUAAGCCCCGGCUAACUAUGUGCCAGCAGCCGCGGUAAUACAUAGGGGGCAAGCGUUAUCCGGAAUUAUUGGGCGUAAAGGGUGCGUAGGCGGUUAAAUAAGUUUAUGGUCUAAGUGCAAUGCUCAACAUUGUGAUGCUAUAAAAACUGUUUAGCUAGAGUAAGAUAGAGGCAAGUGGAAUUCCAUGUGUAGUGGUAAAAUGCGUAAAUAUAUGGAGGAACACCAGUAGCGAAGGCGGCUUGCUGGGUCUUUACUGACGCUGAGGCACGAAAGCGUGGGGAGCAAACAGGAUUAGAUACCCUGGUAGUCCACGCCGUAAACGAUGAGUACUAAACGUUGGGUAAAACCAGUGUUGAAGUUAACACAUUAAGUACUCCGCCUGAGUAGUACGUACGCAAGUAUGAAACUUAAAGGAAUUGACGGGACUCCGCACAAGCGGUGGAUCAUGUUGUUUAAUUCGAAGGUACCCGAAAAACCUCACCAGGUCUUGACAUGCUUCUGCAAAGCUGUAGAAACACAGUGGAGGUUAUCAGUUGCACAGGUGGUGCAUGGUUGUCGUCAGCUCGUGUCGUGAGAUGUUGGGUUAAGUCCCGCAACGAGCGCAACCCUUAUUGUUAGUUACCAGCACGUAAUGGUGGGGACUUUAGCAAGACUGCCAGUGAUGAAUUGGAGGAAGGUGGGGACGACGUCAAAUCAUCAUGCCCCUUAUGACCUGGGCUACAAACGUGAUACAAUGGCUGUUACAAAGGGUAGCUGAAGCGCAAGUUUUUGGCGAAUCUCAAAAAAACAGU
rnacentral:rRNA from 1 species